rnacentral:lncRNA from 1 species
ACAAGUUUUAGAUUCUCAGGAUGAUGGAGUGAGUGAUGGAAUAGGUUGCCAACUGUAGUUACUCCACUCAGCACAGAAUGGCUGCGGGGAAAUAUAAUCAGACAUGCCCAAAGAAGUCUGCUUAGGGUGAAACAAAUACCUUUGAGGUUUAAAUCAGAAAGGAAGGAGAGACUGUUUCUACAGGUGUCAUACAAAAAUCAAUACUGAGCCAAGGAUUAUUGGAUCCCAUAGAACCACGGAGACUUGGUAGUGAAAUUCUUCCAAAGGCAGAUGGUGUUCCUAGGUUUGGAAAUAUAAAUCCCAUGGGAAGUCAGCUGAAGACCAUUUUAUGCAUCACUCAUCCUGUUAGAGCCCUGUGCUGUUCUGUCUCUCUAUAAGACUGGCUGAAACCACCACGGUUGUUUACAAUUUAUGCUCUAACUUUGGAUCACCUAGUUAAUACUCUAACUCCGAUUAUUACCAAAGACAAUGUUCUAUAAAAGAUAUUGUCUAUUAGAAGGAUGCUUCUGCAUUAUUAAUAAAAUCACAGGGAAAAUGCAACAUUUUGGAUGUCACAUCUGAUAAGUGGGUGACUGAUCGUACCCGCCAGCUGGCUAAUGUCAUAAUUAACAAAGUUGCUACUACAUCUGCAAAGUUUAAUCGAAAAAUUUGCCAGUGAUAUGAUGGCCUUGUCACAGAGAUCACAAGGGACACGGAGUUGACUUUUGCUCAAGGUGGAACGACAGAGCUGUGUAGGCAAGAUGAGAAAUUGCGAACUUGUUCGGCCAAAGGAGGCUAAUAAUGAAGGGGCCGGGAAGGAGGCCAGUGCUACCAGGGUUAUCUCACAACCUCAGAUGCUGGAUAAGUCGACGGAGGCAGAAUCGCUUUGGGAUGACAUUCAGAAAGCCUGGAGUGAUUACUUGCAAGAGAAAAGCCUACCUAUUCUUUCCAAGGUGCAGGAAUAUUCCCCUGACCUGCUCAUCCAGUGGUCCAGUAAUGAAUUACUGGAGACCUGCCUUAGACAAAGAAUGCACUCGGAGCCCCAACACACCUAAAGCCAUGCUUUGAAGGAUCUGCCAAGCUCACUUUUAAUCAUGAGAAAGAAAUUACCCACACGGAGUCAGCAGAAAAUGAGAAAGUAGAGCUCGUGCUGUGAAUAAUUCCAGCAAGUGCCAAGGGGCUAGUUGAGGAAUGGCUUCAUGAGAACAUGCUCUAGGGGAACUAUUAAUAGCCCACCAGUCGGGUAGGCAGCAUUCAAUCCUUCUAUGCCUUCUUUCGCCACCUGUUGAGGUCUUUCUUCUGAAACAAAGAAGAAAUAGACAAAUCAGACUUGCCCUCUUGGAAAUGUGGUCCAGAUUUCUCUACUCCCAAGCUCCAAAAAAGGUAUACAUUGGAUGGGCUAGAUCAACUCCUCCUGAGAGCCAUAAAUCCGCCAAGAGUUGUUUUCCAUGUAAGGGUGUGGUACAAUGGGGAACACCUGAUGUUGGAGGAAAGCAGGAGGACUUUAGAGUGGAGUUGCAUUCUAAUCUCUCUGCCGCUUCAACUAUGUGACCUGGGGCAAAUGAUAUAAACUCUAUGAGCCUCUUUCCUUAUCUUUAAAAUGAAGAGAAGUAAUACCUACCUUGUAGGGCUGUUGUGAGGAUUAAAUGAAGUAAUGCAUACAGUGCCUAACAAAGUAUUUAACAUCAUAUUUUUUAAAAGCUCAUGAAAUAUUAGUUUUUCUUCCUUCCCCUCUUUCUAUUUUCUCUCCUGUUCCCUUUUCUCUCCCUCCUCUGCCCUCUCCUUCCUUCAGAUGUUAGUCUAAAACAGCACCUUGGAUCUAAGCAGCACCUUUGAGAAAGAAAAGACUGCUUCAAGAAUGUCUAGUUGCACCUCCUUUCCGUAUGUGGCCUAAAUGCCUAGGUUGGAUCAAUAGUUUAAUUUUUUUAUUGAACUGUUUAAUAUUGACUAUGGACUUACAUUCACUUUUACUGUUUUCUGUAUAUUUACUUUUGCUUGAAGUGUUUUAAUAUUGACUAUUUACCUCUGCUCAUUUUUAUUGAUUUUCUGUAUUUUUUCAAUGAAAAUUAUAAUAAAAAUUAUUUUUGUUA